GAGGCUUCUGAUUUGCUUAUUGCACCACAUGUGUUUUUCUUUGAAACAAACUUGCUUUGGCGGUGGGCCCAGCCUGCCGCCAGAGGUCUAAACUUACAACCAAUUUUUUAUCAACUUGUCACACCAGAUUAUUACUAAUAGUCAAAACUUUCAACAACGGAUCUCUUGGUUCUCGCAUCGAUGAAGAACGCAGCGAAAUGCGAUACGUAAUAUGAAUUGCAGAUAUUCGUGAAUCAUCGAAUCUUUGAACGCACAUUGCGCCCUCUGGUAUUCCGGAGGGCAUGCCUGUUUGAGCGUCGUUUCUCCCUCAAACCGCUGGGUUUGGUGUUGAGCAAUACGACUUGGGUUUGCUUGAAAGACGGUAGUGGUAAGGCGGGAUCGCUUUGACAAUGGCUUAGGUCUAACCAAAAACAUUGCUUGCGGCGGUAACGUCUACCACGUAUAUCUUCAAACUUUGACCUCAAAUCAGGUAGGACUACCCGCUGAACUUAAGCAUAUCAAAAGGCGGAGG
rnacentral:rRNA from 1 species